CCUACGGGUGGCAGCAGUGGGGAAUAUUGGUCAAUGGCCGGAAGGCUGACCCAGCCAAGCCGCGUGAAGGACGAAGGUGCCAAGCAUUGUAAACUUCUUUUGUCAAGAGGCAAAAUCAGACUCGAGAGCCUGACCGAGCGUCCUUUAAGAACAAGCAUCGAUUAACUCCGUGCCGGCAGCUGCGGUAAUAGGGAGGAUUCGAGCGUUGUCCGGAUGGAUUGGGUUUAACGGGUGCGUAGGGGGACUGUAAAGUCAGCGAGAAAAGCCCGGGGCUCAACCCCGGCGAGCCGUUGAAACUGGAGGUCUUGAGAGGUGGAGAGGCAGGCGGAAUGCGCAGUGGAGCGGUGAAAUGCGUAGAUAUUGCGCAGAACUCCGAUGGCGAAGGCAGCAUACUGGAGGGGAUCUGACGCUGAGGCACGAAAGCGUGGGUAUCGAACAGGAUUAGAUACCCUAGUAGUC
rnacentral:rRNA from 1 species